rnacentral:rRNA from 1 species
UACGUAGGGGGCUAGCGUUGUCCGGAUUUAUUGGGCGUAAAGAGCGUGUAGGCGGCCAGGUAGGUCUGGUGUGAAAACUCGAGGCUUAACCUCGAGAUGUCAUCGGAAACCAUUUGGCUAGAGUCCGGAAGAGGAAAGUGGAAUUCCUGGUGUAGCGGUGAAAUGCGCAGAUAUCAGGAAGAACACCAAUGGCGAAAGCAGCUUUCUGGGACGGUACUGACGCUGAGACGCGAAAGCGUGGGGAGCGAACAGG